rnacentral:rRNA from 1 species
GAUGAACGCUGGCGGCGUGCCUAAUACAUGCAAGUCGAGCGAACAGACGAGGAGCUUGCUCCUCUGACGUUAGCGGCGGACGGGUGAGUCACACGUGGAUAACCUACCUAUAAGACUGGGAUAACUUCGGGAAACCGGAUCUAAUACCGGAUAAUAUAUUGAACCGCAUGGUUCAAUAGUGCAAGCCGGUUUUGCUGUCACUUAUAGAUGGAUCCGCGCCGCAUUAGCUAGUUGGUAAGGUAACGGCUUACCAAGGCGACGAUGCGUAGCCGACCUGAGAGGGUGAUCGGCCACACUGGAACUGAGACACGGUCCAGACUCCUACGGGAGGCAGCAGUAGGGAAUUUUCCGCAAUGGGCGAAAGCCUGACGGAGCAACGCCGCGUGAGGGAUGAAGGUCUUCGGAUCGUAAAACUCUGUUAUUAGGGAAGAAAAAAUGUGUAAGUAACUAUGCACGUCUUGACGGUACCGAAUCAGAAAGCAACGGCUAACUACGUG